AGUCGAGGGGCAGCGGGGAGCAAGCUUGCUUGCUCUGCCGGCGACCGGCGCACGGGUGAGUAACACGUAUGCAACCUGCCCUCCGCAGGGGGAUAACCCGGAGAAAUCCGGACUAAUACCGCGUGGUACACCUGUGGGGCAUCCCACGGGUGUUAAAAGGAAGUGAUUCCGGCGGAGGAUGGGCAUGCGGCGCAUUAGCUUGUUGGCGGGGUAACGGCCCACCAAGGCUACGAUGCGUAGGGGUUCUGAGAGGAAGGUCCCCCACACAGGUACUGAGACACGGACCAGACUCCUACGGGAGGCAGCAGUGAGGAAUAUUGGUCAAUGGGCGGGAGCCUGAACCAGCCAAGUCGCGUGAGGGAAGACGGUCCUAUGGAUUGUAAACCUCUUUAGGCGGGGAGCAAUGCCGGGCACGCGUGCCCGGAGGGAGAGUACCCGCAGAAUAAGCAUCGGCUAACUCCGUGCCAGCAGCCGCGGUAAUACGGAGGAUGCGAGCGUUAUCCGGAUUUAUUGGGUUUAAAGGGUGCGUAGGCGGAUUUUUAAGUCAGCGGUAAAAUGUCCGGGCUCAACCCGGGCCGGCCGUUGAAACUGGGGAUCUUGAGUGGGCGAGAAGUAUGCGGAAUGCGUGGUGUAGCGGUGAAAUGCAUAGAUAUCACGCAGAACUCCGAUUGCGAAGGCAGCAUACCGGCGCCCGACUGACGCUGAGGCACGAAAGCGUGGGGAUCGAACAGGAUUAGAUACCCUGGUAGUCCACGCAGUAAACGAUGAAUGCUAGUUGUCCGGUUCUUUGGGACUGGGUGACACAGCGAAAGCGUUA
rnacentral:rRNA from 1 species